GGCCCUUCGGGUGCGGGCGGCUGGGGCCCUAGCCGCUUUUGGGAUGCGCCGUUCCAGUCUCCGGGAGAAGGAUGACCUUGACGCUGCAGGUGUGAGCUCCCUCUAGAAUCGGAAGGAGAGACGACUCCAAUCAUUGUCCCGAUUUCAUGCCAGUGAGAGAUCGCAGGUGUGGCGGCGGCGGCGGCGGCUAUUGUCUGCCUUCCUCCCUGAGCCCACGUGCCGGGCAUCAAAGAGUCCCAGGGAAAGGUUCGUUUCCCCAAACUCUCUUGCGGGCGAGGCCCUGGGGGUCAGACAUUUGAAGGCACGUAAUUGCGAGCCUCAACUGCAGAGUGGGCCUGUCUCGGCAAGGCCCUGCCCUUCCACCGUGACUGUCUAACCUCAUCUACCCCAUCUGCUGUGGGUCCGCCCUCCGGGAGGUCGAGGAAAUCGAGGAAAUGCGACCUCAGUGUCGCCCCGCCCCCCUCGCCCGUCCCGCGUCCCCGGCAGGCGGACGCCCCCAAGACUGUGGUCCCCAAGACGCCCAGGCGGCCCGGAGUCCGGGACAAGGCCGCAGGUGCUGCCCCAGGUGCGGUGCACGGCCUGGUCAGCCGCCCUGGCUCAGGACCCCCCCCGCCCGCCAUGAAGGCCUGCGGCCCCCGGACCGACCGCCAGGUCCCGAUCUGUCGGUGGCGCCCUUGGAGCAGAGCGGCGGGAGGCCGUGGGCCCUGGCUCCCGGUGGGGAGGGGGCUCCCCUGCGAACCGGUGCUGCCCUCCGCCAGCCGGGCUCCCCCGUGGGCCCCGGGGCCGCUCCGUCCGCUUCCCCUCUGCUCACCCCGACGCGGGGGUCCCCUCCGGCCGCACAGCCGCCCGGGCCAGCGGCUCCCGGAAGCGAGGCCCACAUCCGGGCGCGAAGCCUGGCUCGCCGCGCUGGCUUCCGGGCGCUCGACGCAAGCGUGUGGCUGCGCGCGUGGGGUCCGCGCGCCGGGCCCCGCCCGAGGUCAGGGGUCGCGCUGCCGUCGGUGCCGCAGACAGGGAUGGAGAAACGGAAAUACCACCAGCCUCCAGCCAAACCUGGGAGGACUGAUUGCAGGGGAGCUGGUGCUCCAGAUGUUGCACUAGAGGCGCUGCGAGUGUGAGCAGGUGGCAGUGGGCAACAUCAUGGGUUGUAGCAGAUGUUCUCAACAUUUCUUUUGAAACUUCUUUAUAUUGCCUUGCAAGAGGAGCCCUAGAGCCUCAUCCCUGGGGUAGCUACUAUGCUCUGGUAUGAUGCUGUGCUGUUCUAUUUCAUCCUUCCUGUUCUAGCAGAGGAUCUAGGUUAGAAUUUAGUGGUUUCUUAUUGCAGACAAUUAUGUAGAGCUGGAAGUAGAAUGUUUCAAUUAUACUGAUAUUGUGAUUUCUUUGAGAUUAUUAUGCCUUAUUAUUCAUAUACUUGUUCACAGAACCCCCAAAUAGUGAGUGCCUAACUCAUCAUAGAUACUUAGCAUUGUGAUUUUGUUUGAAUUGUAUCUAGUUGUAAACAGUUCCUUACUGAUUUUUAAUAGAUGUUAAUCUAAUUUUUAUUCUUUUAAUUGAUAAAGAAGCACAUAACAUCAUCUUUACUUCUACUUAGAAAAACUAUGUCUUCAGGUAAUGUUUAACCAGCUUCUCAACUCUUAUGAAGGAGAUUCAGCUGGCAACCCAUAAAAUUCUAUUUCAGGAAUAUUUAAUUAUAAACCUCUGUCUAUAUUAGCAUGAAUAAACACUGUAGCUAGUAAUGAAAGUAUUUUUCU
ensembl:lncRNA